rnacentral:rRNA from 1 species
UACGAAGGGGGCUAGCGUUGUUCGGAAUUACUGGGCGUAAAGCGAACGUAGGCGGUGUUCCAUGUCAGAGGUGAAAGCCUGGGGCUCAACUCCAGAAUUGCCUUUGAAACGGGAACGCUUGAGUCCGAGAGAGGGUGGCGGAAUUCCUAGUGUAGAGGUGAAAUUCGUAGAUAUUCGGAAGAACACCAGUGGCGAAGGCGGCUCACUGGACCGGUAUUGACGCUGAGGUGCGAAAGCGUGGGGAGCAAACAGG